rnacentral:lncRNA from 1 species
AGUUAUUAGAUAUAUAAAUACAGAGAAAGAAAAAAAAUUAAAAAAGGGAGAGGAGGAGGAGGAGGAAGCAGAGAAUGAUGAGAUUUAGAUAUGGUUUAUUUGCACAGAGAGAGAGAGAGAGAGAGAGAGAGAGAGAGAGAGAGAGAGAGAGAGAGAGGAGGAAGAAGAAGACAGAGGAAAGCUGAGAGCUUUGGAUAAGAUUUCUGAGAUAAGCGGUAGAGAGAUGCGUUAGGGAGAUUUCCACAGGUUCACGGAGGAGGGACUUUGUUG